ACAUGUCUCAUUACCAUAUAGAAUUGAACCUAAUUGGAUCACACUAACAAGGGUUAGGAUCUGAAUGUCAUCAACUGGGUUAGCCCAAUUGAUUUGGAUUAGAUCCAAUUAGAUUCAAGAAAAUUGUGCUCGCACACAAUUGAGCCUAACUUUCUCCUCGUGUAAUCUUUUCUAUCUCGACUGGCAAAUGUGAUUUGACUCACCCAG
rnacentral:lncRNA from 1 species